rnacentral:rRNA from 1 species
CAGUCGCCGCGGUAAAACGAAGGGUGCAAGCGUUAAUCGGAAUUACUGGGCGUAAAGCGUGCGUAGGCGGUUUGUUAAGUCUGUUGUGAAAUCCCCGGGCUCAACCUGGGAAUGGCAAUGGAUACUGGCAAGCUAGAGUGUGUCAGAGGAUGGUGGAAUUCCCGGUGUAGCGGUGAAAUGCGUAGAGAUCGGGAGGAACAUCAGUGGCGAAGGCGGCCAUCUGGGACAACACUGACGCUGAGGCACGAAAGCGUGGGGAGCAAACAGGAUUAGAUACCCCCGUAGUCCCUGUCUCUUAUAC